CGCUUUGGGUGACUUUGCUAGCUCGGUUAGUGAAAGUUUUAAGCCAGAUCUUGAGAAACCUGUGAUAGGCGUGCUCACGAGUGCGAAAUUGUCAACUUUUAGGGAGGAACAUCAAAUUGGAGCCUUGCCGUCGACAAAGAUUUACUUUAACCUCCCAAUUGAUUCAGUUGCUGAAUAUCGUGAAAGAUUGCGGGAAGAAGGUUAUAAACCAGGAAAGU